CCUACGGGGGGCAGCAGUGAGGAAUAUUGGACAAUGGGCGCAAGCCUGAUCCAGCCAUGCCGCGUGCAGGAAGACGGCCCUAUGGGUUGUAAACUGCUUUUGUACGGGAAGAAACACCCCCUCGUGAGGGGGCUUGACGGUACCGUAAGAAUAAGGAUCGGCUAACUCCGUGCCAGCAGCCGCGGUAAUACGGAGGAUCCAAGCGUUAUCCGGAAUCAUUGGGUUUAAAGGGUCCGUAGGUGGACGGUUAAGUCAGAGGUGAAAUCCUGCAGCUCAACUGUAGAAUUGCCUUUGAUACUGGUCGUCUUGAAUCAUUGUGAAGUGGUUAGAAUAUGUAGUGUAGCGGUGAAAUGCAUAGAUAUUACAUAGAAUACCGAUUGCGAAGGCAGAUCACUAACAAUGUAUUGACACUGAGGGACGAAAGCGUGGGGAGCGAACAGGCUUAGAUACCCUAGUAGUC
rnacentral:rRNA from 1 species